rnacentral:rRNA from 1 species
GGAUACACCUGUUCCCAUUCCGAACACAGAAGUUAAGCUCUCUAGCGCUGAUGGUACUUGGUGGGAAACUGCCUGGGAGAGUAGGACGUAGCCACGU